AGUGGGAUAGCUGGGUCAAAUGGUGGUUCCUUUCCCAGUUUUUUGAGGAAGCUUUAUUCUGCUUUCCUAAGUGGCUGCACCAAUUUGCAGUCCCACCAGCAGU
rnacentral:pre_miRNA from 1 species